AUUGAACGCUGGCGGCAUGCUUUACACAUGCAAGUCGAACGGUAACAGGUUAAGCUGACGAGUGGCGAACGGGUGAGUAAUGCAUCGGAACGUGCCCGAUCGUGGGGGAUAACGCAGCGAAAGCUGCGCUAAUACCGCAUACGAUCUGAGGAUGAAAGCGGGGGACCGUAAGGCCUCGCGCGAUCGGAGCGGCCGAUGUCAGAUUAGGUAGUUGGUGGGGUAAAGGCUCACCAAGCCAACGAUCUGUAGCUGGUCUGAGAGGACGACCAGCCACACUGGGACUGAGACACGGACCAGACUCCUACGGGAGGCAGCAGUGGGGAAUUUUGGACAAUGGGCGAAAGCCUGAUCCAGCAAUGCCGCGUGCAGGAAGAAGGCCUUCGGGUUGUAAACUGCUUUUGUACGGAGCGAAAAGGUCUCCUCUAAUACAGUGGGCUCAUGACGGUACCGUAAGAAUAAGCACCGGCUAACUACGUGCCAGCCGCCGCCGUAA
rnacentral:rRNA from 1 species